rnacentral:rRNA from 1 species
UACGGGGGGGGCAAGCGUUGUUCGGAAUUACUGGGCGUAAAGGGUGCGUAGGCGGCUUUCUAAGUUGGAUGUGAAAACUAUGGGCUCAACCCAUAGCCUGCAUCCAAAACUGGAGAGCUUGGGUUCUGGAGGGGAAAGCGGAAUUCCUGGUGUAGCGGUGAAAUGCGUAGAUAUCAGGAGGAACACCGGUGGCGAAGGCGGCAUCCUGGACCAAUAUUGACGCUGAGGAGCGAAAGCCAGGGGAGCAAACGGG